GUGGGGAAUCUUGCGCAAUGGGCGAAAGCCUGACGCAGCCAUGCCGCGUGAAUGAUGAAGGUCUUAGGAUUGUAAAAUUCUUUCACCGGGGACGAUAAUGACGGUACCCGGAGAAGAAGCCCCGGCUAACUUCGUGCCAGCAGCCGCGGUAAUACGAAGGGGGCUAGCGUUGCUCGGAAUUACUGGGCGUAAAGGGCGCGUAGGCGGACAGUUUAGUCAGAGGUGAAAGCCCAGGGCUCAACCUUGGAAUUGCCUUUGAUACUGGCUGUCUUGAGUACGGGAGAGGUGAGUGGAACUCCGAGUGUAGAGGUGAAAUUCGUAGAUAUUCGGAAGAACACCAGUGGCGAAGGCGACUCACUGGCCCAAUACUGACGCUGAGGCGCGAAAGCGUGGGGAGCAAACAGGAUUAGAUACCCCUGUAGUUC
rnacentral:rRNA from 1 species